rnacentral:rRNA from 1 species
GACGAACGCUGGCGGCGUGGAUUAGGCAUGCAAGUCGAACGGUAUCAUCCUUUCGGGGGUGAGAGAGUGGCGAACUGGUGAGUAACACGUAGGUUAUCUACCCUCAAGACGGGGACAACCCAGGGAAACUUGGGCUAAUACCGGAUGUGAGCAACUUUUAGUUGUUUGAAAGGUGGCGUAAGCUGUCGCUUGGGGAUGAGCCUGCGUCCUAUUAGUUAGUUGGUGAGGUAACGGCUCACCUAGGCAAUGAUAGGUAGGCGGCCUUAACGGGUGGUCGCCCACACUGGGAUUGAGAUACGGCCCAGACCCUACGGA